CUGCCACCGCCCGGGACGCCGAGCGGCGCUGGAGCCGUCGGUCUUCGGUCCGGCGCGGCGGCUGAGGCCAGCGCGCCCCGCGUCGUGGGGCGGCCGUGCCAAGGCCGGCCUCUUGCCCUGGGCGUCCCGGGGCGUCCCGCACCUCUGCACCUCCGGGGUGGGUCCGUGCGCUCCGGUCUCCGAGCCCCGUUGGGCUGCGGCCGCGGCCCCCAGCUGAGGAAGAAGAAAACUGGGCUUGUCCCAAGAGCUCAGUCGGCUCUUCCUUGUGGUUGUGGCUCUCGGCCCCUCAGGUCUGGUGACUUUUGGAAUGAAGCCCACUGAGGGAGGACACCUCUACAGAAGCUUAACCAUGCUGAAAUCACUCAGGGACUCUGGAAAAAGGCAGGAUAUCUAUACUGUGGAGUGCUGUGUGGCCCGCAUGAAGCAGAGUGGAUGAACCUCAGGAGCAUGGUGAAUCACACACCUUGUGACUGACUCGCAGUUCAAAAUGUCCAGAAUGAGAAAACCCAGAGAGAUAGGUUGGGAGGGGGAGGGACGAAGGGACAAAGGACCCUUAUGGAGGGACCUGUGACACAGACAUUCUGUAGUGAGCCAUGGUGCAGGCUACACAAAGUAGAGCUUUAACUGUCACCAUUCACUUUCCCAGAUGAGUGUUACAGUGUGUGUGACUCUAAUAAACUUGUUACUUAGAAACCA